rnacentral:lncRNA from 1 species
CUAUGCCUGGUCCCAACUUCUUAAAAUUAAAUUUUGGGGAAGUUCAUGGAGAUAUUUUUGACAUGUAAAAGUAGAAAACAAACCAUCCAUAGUGUGUGCAUAUAUACACACAAGGUUUGGUUUAAUAUACUUGCUGUGCACUAGUCAGUUUUGAUUCAGGUUACAUAAGGGAUAAAAUAUAGAAAGACAUUUUAAAGUUUGAAAUAUGUGCUAAGUAGUUAGAGAUUUGGCAGUUUUGCCACAUUUCAAAUGGGCCAAACAUUAAAAUAACUUAUCCAUGAAUUUCAGGUUUCAAGGAAGGAGGAAUAUCUGACUAUUUUUUUUUGUGUGUGAGAUUUGGUCUCAGCUUUUUGGUCCAUCUGAAUCCUGGAAGUCCCCAACUCUACCAGACCAAAAGGGUGUCUCUAUUUUUUGUUGUUACUUCUCUGUUCUUGAUGUAAUGAGUUAAGUAGAUGAAAGAGAUUAAGGUGCAGGGAAGGGCUCUUAAAAGUUUAAUGUUUCAGCUUUCCAUAGUCAUUCAUACUUGUGAAUCUUCUUCCUCUUCUACUUCAAAGUAGCCAAAACUUGGAAAGUUCAAAUUAAUCUUUGGGCUCCAAAGAGCAAUUCUGAAGGAUUAACAGGUUUCAUUCUCUCCAGUGGGAGGUGGCCUAGACAGGUGCCGGUUUUGGGGAGAGGUGAGAGUACCCAGAUGUGGGUGACUAUUUCCUGUUCUUCCCUGAAAGUCAGGCCAGUGGUCUCGAAUCAUUCCCACAGCAACUGCUACAAAAGUGACUAUCUUAAUCCUUUGGCUAGAUGGGAUACCUCUUCUACCUUUUCAGAGGUGAGCUGUUGAGUAGUAAUGUCCGCUACAACACCACGCUCCCGGAAUGGUGGUUCCUAAGAGCAAAGUCAGUUAAUACAAUUUCUCCAGGUAUCCAGCUAUCUCCAGGUGUGCGGUCCUGUGAAGCACUCUAAGAACUGUAAAAAAUAUUUCAUAGGUAUAGAAGGCAUUUGUAAUACUGUUGGUUCAAAUGUGCUGACAUGUAGCCAGUGGAGGAAGAUGUUUCUUUGGAAGCCUGCCAUCUUUCUGUAACGCACCUUCAACCUGAGAUAAUUAAGAGUCAUUACGUUUCCCAGUCCCAUGUCACAUUGACCAGUCCUGUGGUCCUAUGGCUAAGCGGAGGACACGGCCACAAGCUGUGAGUCAUGAAAAGGAGGGUGCAGGUGAUAGGCAAAGGGACCCAUUAGCCAGUUUACAAUGACUGGCAACUGACCAGAUAGAGCUUACCGUAUGUCCAUGUAGAGUUGCUCAUAUUAGUCUGUAAAUAAUUCUAUGCAUAGUGAAUGCAGCUUCUGAAUUAUUAAACUGAUGCUAUAAAUGUGAACUGACAAAACCCA